UUAAAGCACACUUACAAAGAGGGAAAGUUAGACUUUGUCAGAUCUUUAUUGAGCAUUUGUUCUCAUUUGUUUAUGGCCUGGCGAUAGGACAAGGAGCAUUCAUCCUGAUUUUCGUGCAGGGCAUUUAUGCAUCUGAGAAGUGCACUGUUGGUGACCAGCACAGUAAUCAUUCACAGAAGGAGCAGAUUAGGCGAGAAAUCUGUUUCUGGACUGGAUCACCUCAGACUGCAGGGUGGCUGUGGGAGAAUGGAACAUUUCUCCAUACAAGUUAACCAAAAACGUCCCUGCACACAGAAAUACAGCAGGUAAAGAAAGAGCAGUUCAGCCUAAGCUCAACUUUUUCCCUGACAGUGAUUUUUUUUUAACAUGCAUGGGAUUUUUAUUUCUGUUAACAUGGAGCAGGGGAAGGGUACAGAAGCUUGCUGGCCACCUCCCCUUGCUCUCCUUGUGAAGCAGCCAAGGCUUCAGCCACUCUGCGCUUUAAUGGUUAACAACCACCCCAACAGAGCAGCCGUUUCUAGAGCACCAGGGAAGGUUGCAAAAGGACUUCACUUUCCUAUGUUGCCAACUCAGAAGAACUGAAGUGAGUGAGCAGAUUUGAACCUUCAGAAAGAGGGCUCAGAAAUGAGUAAGAGUAAGAAGAUUCUCUACCCUUUUCUGUCUACCCUGUGGGCUGCUAUAAACUCACUGUGACAGCCAACCCAAUUCCAGUGAGUAAUAACUGACUGAGAGAAAACACACGUGGUUUUGGUCUACCUUCACAGACAGCAGCUUGGGAACAGCAGUCGCAGUCACACUUCCCAGAACAAAGGAAUCUGCCUUAUUUUGACUCAGGCCAUUUGGUACUACCUAGCUCAGUGCUGGUGACAUGGAUUAGUAUUGGCUCUCCAGGAUUCCAGGCAAGAGUCUUUUCAAGAGAUUGGAUUUUGAACUUUUGCAGGCAAAGCAUGUGCCCUACCACUGUGCUAUAGCCCUUCCCGUUUAAAAAAGUAUAUUUUGGACUUCCGGGAAGGGUGACUUAGCCUGUGCCUGCUUUUGAGACGGGCUCCUGCCUCAAAAGAAGCUUAUUCAGAUAUAUCAGUCAGUUUUUUUUUUUUUUUUUUUUUGACUGAUUAAACUUCUCCCGGGUAGGGAGAAACGAAGAGAUUAACCUCAAAGCCUAUUUUUGUUGGGACGACCAGAUCUCAUUAAUUUAUGGGACGAGGUCCAGCCGACGAAGGUGGGACGGAUUUUCAACAACAAGCUCUAUCUGAUAAAGCGAACGUUCAUCUUAUCUUCUAAGAGAGAACGCACUAACAGGCAAGCACCCUUCUUUCUAUAUUUUUCUUUUACUUGACUUAAAUUGUUGCUGUUUAAAAGAGAUUUGCCAGAUUGAUCGGUUUUUGACAUCUCACUGGGGAGCCAUAACUUCUCUCUGCUACUCACUAAUUAAUAGCUUAUCUCUGUUUUUGUUGCAAAAAGCUGUCCUGGAUUUGCAUUCUAAAGAUAUACACAGAAGAGGGAUUUCUAUUCCAGAUUUUUAUUUUGAAGAAUAUUAUAUUGUCUGAGACUACUCUCUUUUUGGUCUAUUUUAUUUUGACGAAUCUGUUUCCUGACGACCGCCAUUAAUUGUUUCGAUCCUGGGAACUGCAUUUUGUUUACUUAAGCAUGGAGAGAUAAGGCUGUCUGCUCUGUUUAUACUGUGAUGUCACCAAGUUUGGAGUAUUAACCCAAUUGUUGCUGAAAUAAGAAGUGGUUUUCCUAUAUUUUUCUUUUAAAAUGGCAAUUAAGAAAGUGGCUGAGAAUCUGGAAAUAACUAUGUUUCAGAAAAUAAUGGAUGAGAUUGAGAUAACGAAACAAAACCUGCGACAGGGUUGUAAGGAGCUGAAAAUUGAAUUGAGUAAAAUGAAGCAGGAGAUUAAAGAUAUAGGGGUCCCUGUGAGAGAGGUGACCCUGGAAGGGGUCCCUGUGAGAGAGGAGACCCCGGAGAUUGGAACAAACGUGGAACAGGAAAAAGAUUUGGAGUCUAUGGACUUUAGAAACAAAAUCUAUUGUUUGGAGACACAGGAGAUUAAAGACAUAGGGGUCCUUGUGAGAGAGGAGACCCUGGAGACUGGAACAGGGGUCCCUGUGAGAGAGGAGACCCUGGAGACUGGAACAGGGGUCCCUGUGAGAGAGGAGAUCCCGGAGAUUGGAACAAACGUGGAACAGGAACAAGAUUUGGAGUCUAUGGACUUUAGAAAUAAAAUCUAUUGUUUGGAACUCAAUGUUAUCUCUGAAGAAAUUAAUGAAGAUUCUAGAGAUAAAGUUAUCAAUGGCAUGGAUAAUCUUCUGGACUGGAAUGAUGUGAUGGAGCCCAAUAUAGAGAAAAUCUAUGGAAUUAAUUGCAGCCAUGUGACAAUGGAAAAACUUUCAAGAGAUGACCCAGUGUAUUUUGAAAAAAAGAACAGAGAUAUGAUUUUACAGCAGUAUUUCAGCAACCUAUUCAGAAUGGAUGGCAAGAAAAUAUUUGGGAUAGAGGUAAUUCCCAUCAGACUCUUACUAUAUGACUAUGGCUUUGACAGCAAGAUUAUUAUGGAAUACUGAUAAUGGAAGAUUGGAUACUGAAAUUACUGGACUUAACAAGACUACUGAAGAUGGAAGAUGGAAAAUGGAACUAAUAGGGAUAAUAGAACAAUGGCUACUGAAAUUACUGAACCUAACAGAUUCUGAUGUGAUGGAUUAAUUGAAAUGUUUAUUUUGACUAUG